UUUAGAGAUAGAGGGGUGCUCGAAAGAGAGCCGUAACACAGGUGCUGCAUGGCUGUCGUCAGCUCGUGUCGUGAGAUGUUGGGUUAAGUCCCGCAACGAGCGCAACCCUUGUCAUUAGUUGCUACAUUCAGUUGGGCACUCUAAUGAGACUGCCGGUGACAAGCCGGAGGAAGGUGGGGAUGACGUCAAGUCCUCAUGGCCCUUAUAGGUGGGGCUACACACGUCAUACAAUGGCUGGUACAAAGGGUUGCCAACCCGCGAGGGGGAGCCAAUCCCAUAAAGCCAGUCGUAGUCCGGAUCGUAGUCUGCAACUCGACUACGUGAAGUCGGAAUCGCUAGUAAUCGUGGAUCAGAAUGUCACGGUGAAUACGUUCCCGGGUCUU
rnacentral:rRNA from 1 species